rnacentral:rRNA from 1 species
AUUGAACGCUGGCGGCAGGCCUAACACAUGCUAGUCGAGCGAGCGGCGGACGGGUGAGUAAUGUAUGGGGAUUUGCCCGAUAGCGGGGGAUAACUACUGGAAACGGUGGCUAAUACCGCAUACUAUCGGAUGAACCCCAAUGUGAUUAGCUAGUAGGGUGGGUAAAGGCUCACCUAGGCGACGAUCUCUAGCUUGUCUGAGAGGAUGAUAAGCCACGCUUGGACUGAGACACGGCCCAGACUCCUACGAGAGACUGCAGUGGGGAAUAUGUAACAAUGGGCGAAAGCCUGAUGCAGCCAUGCCGCGUGGAUGAAGAGUGCCUUAGGGUUGUAAAGUACUUUCAGCGGGGAGGCGUUACCCGCAGAAGAAGCACCGGCUAACUCCGUGCCAGAGCCGCGGUAAUUC